rnacentral:rRNA from 1 species
CCCUUAGAUGUUCUGGGCCGCACGCGCGCUACACUGAUGCAUUCAACGAGUCUAAAACCUGCUCUGAUAGGGGUGGGUAAUCUUUUGAAUGUGCAUCGUGAUUGGGAUAGAUGAUUGAAAUUUUUCAUCUUCAACGAGGAAUGCCUAGUAAACGCAAGUCAUCAGCUUGCAUUGAUUACGUCCCUGCCCUUUGUACACACCGCCCGUCGCUCCUACCGAUUGAAUGAUCCGAUGAAUAUCAUGGAUUGAGGAUGCAAGUAGGUUCACCUAUCUUCAUCUUCGAGAAGUGAAGUAAAUCUCAUCAUUUAGAGGAAGGAGAAGUCGUAACA